CUCACAUACAGUCAGCCUGGGAGAGGAGGGCAUUGCACCACGCAGGACCACACAGAGGUUGCAUUCAGGAACCAAGUGCACAACCAAGGACUGUUAGAAACAGCAUCAAGAAACGGGAUACUCCCUGGUGCCUAUAAAAGGAUGUGAUGGACUUGUCUGAAUAACUCUAUAGACUGAUAGGUAACCCAGGAUAAGCAGGAACUGGUCUCUGCAAUUCCAGUGGCAUAAGUGUCCAGUGUCAGUCAAAUGCGUCACCUAAAUCUCAGCAGCGGCAGAAGAAUGUGUCCUCUUCUGAUUUGAGACAUUCUCCCUGCCUGUGUAACCUCCAAGCUUAUUUUCCUGGCAUCUCAAAAGGUUCUGUAAGGUAUCACUAUCCUUUAAUAAUUUCUUUCUGCCUUCAUCAACUCAUCAUUCUUUUGCUUACAAUAAUGUAUUUUUGACACUGGAUGCUCUAAGUUGGACUUUUGUGCUUACGACUAAACUAAUACGAAAAUUAGUGCUGGAAAAAAAAAUCGUAGGCCUUUCCAGCAAAGAAGUUGGAGAAAUUCAGGAUUUAUGGCCUGGCCUCGUUGGUGCUGACAGCCAUAAAAAUUCUUUGUACAAUUAAGGGCUUGAACUCUCUGGCAGCUCGCAGUGAUGUCAUGCAUAGGCUCUCUAUGGUCACCUGUAAUGAAGAGCCCAUUAAACAGAAAAUUUGGAAGCCUGGGUGGCUGGUGAAUGGAAGAGGAUGUAAGUCUGAGACCAUCAAGGGAUUUGAGCCUGUUGAUGUCGUGGAUUACAUCGAUUUUCAAGUGUUGAUCUAGUCACGUACAUGAGAUAAAUCUCAUUUAGUAAUGACAACCCACAACCAACCAGCGUGACCUAUUUCAUCAAUAGUUUCUUACAGAAAAUGAAGUGAGUGUGAUGGGCACUGCUGAAGAAGUAACCAAACAGAAGAAUUUCAAAACUUUAUCAAUUUCUUAUAUUUUAUCUGCUGCAAACAUCCUUCUAUUAUUCCACUCAGGACCACUCCCCAAUCCAAGAAACAGCUGGAUAGACUCGACCUAUUUCAGACUCAGCCAGACUUGCCAAGUCAUCAUAUUACAUGCGGUCUGUUGACUGAUAAGCCCGUUCUAAUAUCCCCAAUUGAUGGAGAGGAUUUUUGGCCUCAGCUAAAAUCUUCCGUUGACACUCUGCCCAGGCUGUUAUGAGGUCUCAUGUAGGCUGAAUACUUGCCCAAGUCAUAAAAGUCUACAUCAUCAAGGCAUCUGUGGACCAAGACCAGAGCUUCAUAUGUGGGUCAUUCCUACCUUCUGCACUAAUUUUACAGGAUCCUUUAAUAGGAAUACCAUUUUUGCAUCUAAUACUAUGACAGCUAAUCGUUUAAAUUUAGCUCCUGUUAGGUAGAGCUUACUCUCCACCAAACACAGUCUAUGUGGCCAGGCUGCCCCUUUUCAUUUGUUUCGCAGGCUAGCUCCUUAAAGAGAAACUGGGUCUCAGUGUAAAAGAAAGGCCAUGUUUCCUCAUCCAAGUGAUAACCUCGUCCUCUUUAUUGGCCCUCUCCUUCUGAUUUUUCUGUCUUCAUUACUUAGUGGGUGGUCACUGUCAAGUAGAGGGUAAAUUAUCUCAGUCCCAGUCCUGGUGACACUGUGCUAGAGAGCACAAAUCCUCCUGCCCAGGUUCCUCUCCUCAUAACAUCUCCCCCAGGACUUCAGGCCCCUCCUCACUCUCUGCGUGGCCUCUUGGUAAGAAGCUGCCAUGAACAAGGACCAGCACAUGAGUUGUAGUUUGGAGCAUGUGCUCACCAGGGCAGUGGCUACUUUAAAGUUCUGGAAGGAACAAAGAUGUAAAUUGCCUUGCUUUUAUUCACUUGAAGUAACACUUAGGCUAGUUUGGCCCCAGGUUUGGGAUCUCAAUAUCCCUCCAAGGAGAAACUAUAAUGACAACAUCACACAGCAUAACUGAGUAUCACGGAGGUGUGCUAGCUGCUUCCAAAGGCUACUCCUCCAGCUAGGCUCAGGAGCCUGGCCUCAGCCUGAUGUCUCUGCCUCACUGUCUCAUUUACCUGCUGUAGUGGUCCCCAAGAAUAAGGAUAUCCUCUUGUCUCAGCACACCCCAAAUCACUGGCUAAAAGGAGCUCUUGCCACUGUAGGCUGUUACAGGGUCACAGAUAGGCAACCCUUGGUCUAGAAGUGUGUACUUCUCCCUCUUUUCUAUUUAGGCCUGCAGGUCUUACAACAUCUAGCACCUUCCUGGUGGGGGACCCAGACAGGAGCACUAACCACUUUUCCUGGGCCUCUGACUCCAAAAGUCAAUUCUAAUGGUGGGGAUUUACUCAGUUAUUGGUGCUCCUGCUUGGCCAGGCUAAUAAGGUAUGGGGGUACAUGUAAAAUAUUAAGAGUACAAUACAGCAUGGAGCAAUGUUAUACCAAACUAACGUAUGGGCUUUCCAAUGAUUGUUUCACUAACUGGGUAGACCCCCAUAUGAAUUCCUUGAUCAUAACCAAAAAUCACCUCAUCUUCAUUGCCACUUGAAGCGAGUUCAGGAUUUCAGGGCUGAUAAAAAAAAUAUAUAUAUGAUAGCAAGGGGGCAUUAACAAACAAUGAGUUUUAUUAGGGUGGUACCUUGACAGGUUUUCAUGUGUAUGUGUGGUGGGGCAUGAGGGGCGCAUAUUACAGCAUGAGACCUUCCAGUGACAAUGGCACAGGACUACCAUCCAGAAGGAAACUAGGGCAAGGGCAAGAGAGGGUAAUUGGUGAGGGGCUUGUGUAUCUACAUGAUGUCACAAAGCAGCAACAUGAGAAGUCUCUAGGACCAAGAUUUUCAAAGGACAGCAGUGGCUUAGAGUCUUUUAUAACUCCAGAAUUUGUCUUAUCUAACUAAGGCUAGUAGAUGUUGAGUGAAAUGUUCUGGGAUAUGCAAAGCAGGCAGACUCUAACUCACUAAAAAUAUGCUUAUUUGGACUACAUUUUUAAGCAAUUGAAUGUGUAAAAAUUUGAGUUUUCCUCUGGGCUAAUGAUACCAUUAUCAUGAGCCUUGAGGAAAUAAACAAUCUACAGCCAAUAGAAGAUGUCUUUCGACUACUUACAUAACAUUCUCAUCAGAAGCAAACACAUAGGCUACUGGAAGACAGCAGCAAACAUUUUUGACUCAGAGCACAGGCAAAGAAUGACUGAUUCUAGGAAAUGAAUAGAAAAAAAUCUGUCUCCCCUCUGAGGGAGAAAUAGGAAGUCUUUCUAACCAUAGAACACAUUGCUGUUUCUAGAUAAAGACACUUGGAGAAACCAUUGUUGCUUGGAGAAAUAUGUUUAAAAAAUAUUAUUCUACCUGUGGCAGAAGGGUGGAACAUCACCUCUGAUUUAGGAUCGUACACCAAUGCUAAGCAGAAGUCUGCUACCACUAGCAGAAGGGCAGUAAACUCUCUCUUGCCCAAAAAUGACUACAGAUAAAAACAGAUAAUUUCUGCAAUGGAAAGGAUGUGUAAGAACAUUGAGAUAGCUGUAAAUAUAAGACUGACAUGCACUGAGUUAGGCUAAGCCUGAAACUGGAGCAGGGUAACAGAGGACUUUGCUUCCCCUACCAUGAACCCAGUACUAAGUAACAAGAGCAGUCUACUUUUGGGAGAGGGAAAGACUCUGGAAGAGCCCUCUCUGUGGCUGAGACACACCAGGAUGGUUAAAAACUGAAGGAAAGGUGGAAAAGAAAAGCAAUAGUGCCCCCUUAUACAUAAUUUCACCUUCCACAGUUUCAGUCACCCACAGUCAACCAUGGUUUGAAAAUAGGAGAGUAUAAUACCAGAAGAUAUUUUGAGAGAGAGAGAGAGAGAGAGAGACCACAUUCAUUUGAUUUUUAUUACAGUAUAUUGUUAUAACUUUUCUCUAUUAUUGUUGUUAAUCUCUUAUGCCUAACUUAUAAAUUAAAUUUAUCAUAGGUAUGUGUGUUUAGGAAAAAAUACGGUAUAGUAUUAAUAUAUAUAGUAUAAGGGUUGGUAUUAUCCAUCAUUUCUGGCAUUCAUAAAAACCUUUUGGUAUCCCAUUCCCCACUCUUACUACAAGAUAACAGCAGACCAUUGUUAGAGAACUUUGAAACCUGUGGUUUACUGGAGGUAAUGAUAGCAACAACAAAACCCAAAGAUAACUCAACUCCUGACUAGAAUAAGUCAAGUCUCCACAACAACAGCCUGACAUGCCUGUUUCCAGCCAUGAAUACAGUAUAUCUCAGUCUUUACUACAUCAUUUUCAGAAUUCAAUAAAAAAUCCAGAGACGAAAAAUAGAGCAAGGAAAAACAACUGGGUCAAGAGCUAAAGCAGACAAUAUAACUAGAUUCGGAGAUAAUUCAGGCACUGAGAGUAACAGUGAGAGAGUUUGGAAUUUGAAAUAACUAUGACUAAUAUGCCAAAACCCUUAGCAGAAAACAUGGAAAAAAAUGAAUAAACACGUGGGAAACUUCAGCAGAAAAAUUAGAAAAAAUCAGAUGAAAAUAUUAUAAAUACGCAUACAUAUGCAUACACACAAUAUCAGAGAUAAAGCAUUCUUUUGAUGGGAUCACCAGAUUUACCACAAGCUGUAAAAUAAUCAGUGAACUAAAAAUGUGUCAGUAUAGAUUAAUUUUAAUAUGUUCAAAUUGAAACACAGAGAAAAAAAUUCAUAAAACAAGGACCACCCAAUAUUGGAUAAUAUUUCCUUAUCUCAUUAACAUGUAGUUAAAAUACUAGGAGAGAAAAAUGAGGCAGAAGAAAUAUUUGAAGACACAACAAAAGAUAUCAAACCAUAGAUCCAAAAAGCUCAGAGAAAGCCAAGCAGGAUAAAUACCAAACAGAGAUAUAGUAAAGCUAUCGAAGAAGAAUAAAAAAAAAUCUGCAAAAGUCAGGAAAAAAUCAAAACACAUUGCAUACAAAAAACGAAGAUAAGAACAACAGCAGAAAUCAUUUAAUUCAGAGGACAAUGCAGUGACAUUUUUUACAGUAAUGGAAAAAAAAGGCAAUGUAGAAUUCUAUACCCAGCAAAAGUAUCCUUCAAAAAUGAAGAUAAAAUAUAAAAUAUUUUCAGACAAGCAAAAUCUUAAAGGAUUACUUGCCAAAAUAUCUGAGCUACACAAAAUGUUAAAGAAAAUUAUUCAGGAAGAAGGCAUAUGAUACUAGACAGACAUGUGGAAGAGUGUUUGAAAUGGUAAAAAAUUAAUGUAGAUAUAAAACAUAUUUUCUUCUUUUUAAUCACUAAAAUAUAUACUUAUCUAAAGUUUUAUUUUGACUAUGCCAACUUUGAAUUUCUCUUAGAUAAUCCAAAUGAAGAAAUCAAGAAGUUGGUUAAAUCAACAAUCCUGGAGCUCAGUGGGGUAAACUGAAACCGGAAACAUUUAAAUAUUGUUAGCAUGCAGGUGACAUUUAAAGCCACAAGACCAGAAAAGAUGAUCUACAAAGAGGGUAUAAUUUGAGAAAAUAAGAAUGUAAGCACUGAGUCUUAGGAAUAUUUAACAUGUGGACACAAGGAAGAGAAAAAUGACCCAGAAAAGAAAAUUGAAAGGCUUGGUAUGUGAGCAAGAAAGAAAACCUGGAAGUGUUUGGUUUCAGAAGCCAAAUGAAGACAGAAUUUCAAGAUAGUGGGACUGGCUUACUAUCUGGAAGUGCUAUCAACCAAAGUCUAAUACUAUGCAGAUAGCAACUAGCAUGGCCAAUUUUGGGAAUUCAAAGAAAAAAUUUUAAUGGAAGUGUUAAUUACUAUAAUUCAUUACAAUGAUACAUCAAAGGAGAUGAAUAAUACAAUUAUGUUUAUAAAUGUCCCAAUAAGAAAGAGUAAAGGAUAUUAAGAGUAGAAAUCUGAAACUCAGCGACUACUUUCAAACAUAGUACUUGAAAAGUUUUCUAAUUAUUUAAAAUAUAAUAUCCUAAUUUGUAUAACUGGAGUUAUAAGAGUCCUGAUUUAUAGAGGUGAGGUUGCAGUGGAAUCAUAUAGGUAAAGUUCUUAGGAUAGGGGUCAUAGAAAGUACUGAAUUUUUUUUUUUUUUUUGAGGCAGGGUUUCACUCUGUCACCCAGUCUGGAGUGCAGUGCUGUGAUCAUGGCUCACUGCAGCCUCAACUUCUGGACUCAGGUGAUUCUCUUGCCUCAGUCUCCCAAGUAGCUGGGACUAUGUGCACCACCAUGCCUGGCUAAUUUUAAUACUUUUUGUAGUGACAGGAUCUCGCUAUGUUGCCCAGGCUGGUCUAGAAUUUCUGGGCUCAAGCAAUCCGCCCACAUCAGCCUCUUAAAGGGCUGGGAUUACAGGUGUGAGACACUGUGCCUGGACUGAAUAAUCAUUUUUAAUUAAAAUUUGAUAAGAAUGAACUCCCAUUCCUAACUGUUAAAGAAGAUUAUUUUUCUUUAACAUGAUAAAAAGUCUUAAACUACAGCAAAACUUUAAGGUAAAUUAAUUUUCACUGCAGUUACUUAACAAUAUCUUGGAAGUUCAUGCUAGGUGAGAGAGUUCUAAAGAAAACAAGUAAUUGCUAUUAGAAAAGGAAAGAGUAACAUCACCUGUCUGCAGAUAAUAUAAUUAUCUAUCUAGAAAUUUAGAGAGAAUAAAGUACUAUUUAAACCAAGGUAAUUUGCUCAUAUAUCCAGAUGAAAAAUAAAUGUGUGACAACUAGUACUCUUGCUAUUUAUCAGUAACUCUCUGGUAGGGUACAUGAGAAAGGCCAUAUCUCAUUGAUUAUUCAAAUUUUAAAAUAUUAAAUAUCCAAAAAUGCAUAGUCAUUGUAUAUCCAUAUAUUAUCAAAAUAUUCAGAGUAUUAUUACAUUCUUUUCAGGGACAUAAAAUAACAUCUUAAUUAUAUAUGUGUGUAAUAUUCUCAGAUGGGAAAAUGCCAUAAACAGCUAUCCCCAACACAUUUAUAUAGAUUUUUUUCAAAAAUUAGAAGAAAAAUUCCUUCUGGAAGGAACAGUUUUAAUUUUUUUUCUCCUAAGUUCAACACUUCUUUUUGGGAAGAAUAGAAAGAUCAGCCAAUAAAAUGUUAAAUGACAAGAGUCAGAAGGAGGGCACUUACUAGCCUCCCAGACAGUAAAACAUACAAAAAAUUCAUGAUGAUAAAAACAGUAUUUGUACUGGUGUAGUAGUAAAGUUCACUUUAUAUAUGAAUAUAAAUAUCAUAUUCUGAAGGCAUGCUGAAUUAGUGUGUUUCAAAUUAAUGGAACUGGAAAGACUGACUAAUCAUUUGAAAGUAAAUUAAGAAUCUUAUUUUGCCAUGAGCCCAAAUAUGCAGCAGAUGAACUGAAGACAAACAUAUAAAUAAUGGAACCAUUAAUUUUUAAGAUGAAUGUAUUUGUAAAUCUUUCUAAAAUUUCAGCUUUAGGGAUUACUUUUGCCUUAUUGUAAUAAAGACUAGCUUUCUAAAUUUCAAAGAUGGAUCUAGAGGAUAUUUUGUCCUUCAAAUGAGUGGGAUUUUACACUAGAAAUACAGGCUCACAAGAUAGGAAACUAAGCAAGUUUUAAUUUUUCCUCCUAGACUGUUCCUGUGGGUAAUGAAAUGGCAGGGAGUGGUAGCUAAAGAUAGUAGAGAGGAAUAGAGAUUUUCACACUCUCAGCUGAAUUGGUGCACACCAAUGGAAAAGAGAUUAGACUUUAAUCUUGCUGCCUGUGUGUCUCCAAGAAAACUGGGUCUUGUCUUCCCAGGGAAGGCACUCUACUUCCCCUUGCAGGUCUUAACACUCAAACAACUGCAGCUUUGGUGAAGUGCCUAUCUUAUUUCAUAGAACUACUCCAGACAGCCACCUGGAAGUCUCUGUUUAUAGGGCCAACUAGGUAUGGUUUAAAUCUUAUCAAGAAUUGCCAAGAAGACUCAAUUUUCUCUUAUCUCUCUCUCUCUCAUACACAUAUCCUACUUAAAAUAUAUUACGAAAUAUUCUUUCAUUAAAAAAAUUUAAUUCUAAAUUUAAUUCUAAAUUCAAGCUUUUGCCUUAUUAACUUGAAUCUGUCAACUUUAUACUUAACUCACAUAAUGUCUACAAGUUUCCAGCAAUUUAGUGAACAUGCUGGUGUUAAAGUAUUUUUAUAAAAGAGUGUGAUACCACAGUUUCUUCCCCUAAAUAAAUGUUGGGUGAAAAAUUAACAUCUGACAGGAGAUAAUAUUUGCAGCAUAUAAGAGUUAAUAUCAAUACAUCUUUAAAAUCUUAAUAAAUAAGGGACAAAUAAAUAUCCCAAUGGAAAUUUUGGAAAAUGCCUAAGCAAACAAUUCAGAAAUGGAUAAAUAUAUAUCAGCAAUUAACAUAGAUUUAAAAUGUUCAUUUUUCCUAGAAAGCUAAGUAGAUGCAAAUUAAAACAGUAAUACAACAUUUUAAAUUUUCAAAUGGGAUUUUAAAAAUAAAAUAACAAGACUGUAUAAAUAGGAAUUUUUAUAUAUUUUUAAAAAUUGUAAACGGACACCAUAUUUAGGACAAUUCAGCAGUACAUAGUAAGAAAUAAAUUUCUCACUGAAUGCCAAGACAUUCUUUUAAGCUACUGUGUAUAUUAGCUCACUUAAUCUUCAUAACAGUCUUGAGGUGUAGGUAUUAUUAUAGAUGGUGGACACUACAGAAGUGAGAAAAAUGACACACAGAGGGUAUUUGUGACAUUCCUAGGUGACAUAGCUAGCAGGGGGCAGGACCAGGGGUCUAACUAAGGCAGGCUGCUUUCACAGUCCAACUUCAAAAGUACUCUUCUGUCACCCUGCUCAAGGUUUUACAAUAGAAGUACUGCUGACAUACAAACUUACGUUAGAAGAAGAUGCUAAGGAAAUAGUCAUGAACAUCCAUAAAAAUUUCCUUACCAAUGUAUCUUAGCAACACCGUUUACACUAGAAGAAAAUUGAAAACAUCCAACACAGAGCGUACCUGAAUAUAAUAAGUGAAAUAAAGAUAUAUUGAAGUUAUUAAAAUGUUAUAAAAAGUAUGAGAUGAUAUAAAAAAUGUGCAAUAUAUUUAUUUGGUGAAAAUACGUUAAAACAGUACAAUAUAACAUUGUUUACAGACUCUGAAAUUAUAAAUAUCAAGGUAAUGGGUUAUUGUGUUUGAUUAACGAUAUUUUUGUUUACUUUUAAGGUGUAUUUAUUUCUAUAAAUAUUAUAAAAAAUCAAAUAAAUCUUUUAAGAUAGAAGAAAACACAUAUGAAAUUACUUAGUCUCCUCUAGGUAGACAGGGUUAUUGUUUCUUUUUUGUAACUUUCAUUUUAGGUUCAGUGGUACAUGUGAAGGUUUCUUAUAUAGGUAAAUUUGUGUCCUAAAGGUUUGUUGUACAGAUUAUUUCAUCAACCAGGUAUUAACCCUGGUACUCAAUAGUUAUUUUAUUUAUUUAUUUGUUUUUGCUCCUCUCUUUCCUCCCACCCUCCACCUUCAGGAAAAACUGAAAAGAAUUCAACAUGAUAUUUUUAUAUUUGACUAUAUAAAAAUGUAAAAUAUCUGUAUGAUAAAAUCAUUAAACUUUGAGGGCAAAUUUUAAAAUGUGAAAAAUAAA
rnacentral:lncRNA from 10 species